rnacentral:pre_miRNA from 1 species
CAAGCGGCGGUCUGUUCUCGUCGAUACUGUGAUCUCACCCGCAAGUCGGUCGUGCACUCGCAGGUGAGAUGAUAGCAUUGAAGGGAGGAGCGGCAACCACGCACU